AGUGAACGCUGGCGGUAGGCCUAACACAUGCAAGUCGAACGGCAGCACAGUAAGAGCUUGCUCUUACGGGUGGCGAGUGGCGGACGGGUGAGGAAUACAUCGGAAUCUACUUUUUCGUGGGGGAUAACGUAGGGAAACUUACGCUAAUACCGCAUACGGCCUACGGGUGAAAGCAGGGGAUCUUCGGACCUUGCGCGAUUGAAUGAGCCGAUGUCGGAUUAGCUAGUUGGCGGGGUAAAGGCCCACCAAGGCGACGAUCCGUAGCUGGUCUGAGAGGAUGAUCAGCCACACUGGAACUGAGGCACGGUCCAGACUCCUACGGGAGGCAGCAGUGGGGAAUAUUGGACAAUGGGCGCAAGCCUGAUCCAGCCAUACCGCGUGGGUGAAGAAGGCCUUCGGGUUGUAAAGCCCUUUUGUUGGGAAAGAAAAGCAGCAGGUUAAUACCCCGCUGUUCUGACGGUACCCAAAGAAUAAGCACCGGCUAACUUCGU
rnacentral:rRNA from 1 species